CAUGCAUGUCUAAGUUUAAGACGGUAAGCUUCCGAAACUGCACAUGGCUCAUUAAAUCGGUGGUAGUCCCUCACAAUCACGAUUGUCGGCUUGUUCAGAUAUGGAUAUCUGUGGGAAUUCUAGAGCUAAUACAUGAAUUUUGUGACGCCUUGGGCUCAAGCGUUCGUCUUUUGAAUCCUGACGAACUAGCAAAUCGCAGGCGGCGAUGGUUUGUAGGGUUUUCCGACUCAUCAGCCAUGUUGGUAAUCCAUGGGUUUACCAAGGCGUCGACGGGUGACGGAGGAUUGGGGUUUGAUCCCGGAGAGGGAGCCUGAGAGAUGGCUACCACUUCUAAGGAAGGCAGCAGGCGCGCAAAUUACCCAAUGCCAAAACGGUGAGGUAGUGACGAUCAAUAACGACGCGGACUCUCUAAGAGGGUCCGCGAUCGGAAUGAGCUCGCCUUAGAUGCUCGAGCAAGUAACGAUCGGAGGAAAAGUCUGGUGCCAGCACCCGCGGUAAUUCCAGCUCCGAUAGCAUAUAUUAAAGUUGCUGCAGUUAAAAAGCUCGUAGUUGGAACCGAGUACCGUGGUAGUUCCGCUCACCGCCGCGAGUGGUGUGGUUCAAAGCUGUCAGUGGGGCGGCGGUUGUAUGUGGCUUCGGUCAUGUGCAAUCGUCGUGGGGUCUCGGCCCCGACUCGCGCAGCUUACACCUGGAGCAAAUUAGGGUGUUCAAAGCAGGUAGCUCAUUCGGCCUUGAAUAGGUCAGCGUGGGAUGUAAUCCGGCACCUACUGACUCUAAUCCGCGGUUCUUCGUGGGAACGAUUGAUGGGGGUGGUCGGUGGCGUCGGUAUUUGCCCGUCAGAGGUGAAAUUCUUGGACCGGGCAAAGACCAUCAUCAGCGAAAGCACUCGCCAAGUACACCUCCCUCAAUCAAGAACGAAAGUCGGGGGAUCGAAGAUGAUCAGAUACCGUCGUAGUCCCGACCGCAAACGAUGCCAACCAGGGAUCAGGAGGCGUCGCAUGGACGGCCCUCCUGGCACCCCCGGGGAAACCUAGAGUCUUUGGGUUCCGGGGGGAGUAUGGUCGCAAGGCUGAAACUUAAAGGAAUUGACGGAAGGGCACCACCAGGCGUGGGGUUUGCGGCUUAAUUCGACUCAACACGGGAAACCUUACCAGGUCCGGACUCCGUAAGGAUUGACAGACUAAGGGACCUUUCUUGAUCCUGAGGGUGGUGGUGCAUGGCCGUUCUUGGUUGGUGGAGCGAUCCGUCAGGUCAAUUCCGUUAACGAACGAGACCUCGACCCCCCAAAUAGUGGCGUCUGCCCUGCCACGGGGUUCGUUUCUCUGCGGCGGGAUGUCGUGCCGGGCAAUGUCCUGUCGUGACGGGGGGCGACCUCGGUGGGGCACGUGUCUUCUUAGAGGGACGGCCGCGCUUAGCGAGAGGAAGCUUGAGGCAAUAACAGGUCUGUGAUGCCCUUUAGAUGUUCUGGACCGCACGCGCACCACACUGGUGUGUUGAACAAGGCGUCCCUUGGCCUGAAAGGUCUGGGGAAUCUCGAGUGACCAUCGUGAUGGGGAUAGAUCAUUGCAAUUAUUGUUCUUCAACGAGGAAUGCCUAGUAGGCACGGGUCAUCAACUCGUGCCGAUUACGUCCCUGCCCUUUGUACACACCGCCCGUCGCUCCUACCGAUCGAACGGCCAGGCAAAGUCCUCGGAGUGGAGCGAUCCUUCGGGUUGUUUGUAAAGUUGACUGCACCU
rnacentral:rRNA from 1 species